UUGGAGGUCGGUCUGAAGCCUUCGAGCCCUCCCACCGUUUUGCUUUCUCCUCAGCGUCUUCUACUUCAUGCCUAUGGUUCCUUCUGCUUCUUCUCGUUCUUCCCCUUGGGUAAAGGCCUUCUUUCUCUCUUUCUCUCUCUCUCUCUUCUCGAUCUUGCUUUUGUUCUUGAUUCUUUUUCCCCCCUAGUUGGGGCUGCCAUUACUUUUUAGGUUUAAACGAAAGGCUGUGAUGAUUUCUUGGACGAGGGUUUUGUACGUUAUGAAUCAGGGAACGGCAACGAGAUCUGGCCCGCCGCCAUUGUGCAGGCAGCCGUUUGAUUUGUUGUAGAUAGUCUUCAGGCGAACAACACAAUGCUGGAUUAAGCGAUUAAUCCGAUCUUCCCUUCCUUUCUUCGCUUUUCUGAUUUCUGCUUUUUUUUUUCCUUUUUCAAGAUUUGGUUUUUCU
rnacentral:lncRNA from 1 species